rnacentral:rRNA from 1 species
UGGGGAAUAUUGGACAAUGGGGGAAACCCUGAUCCAGCAAUGCCGCGUGUGUGAAGAAGGCCUUCGGGUUGUAAAGCACUUUCAGUGGGGAAGAAAAGCUUAGGGUUAAUACCCCUGAGUAUUGACGUUACCCACAGAAGAAGCACCGGCUAACUCUGUGCCAGCAGCCGCGGUAAUACAGAGGGUGCAAGCGUUAAUCGGAAUUACUGGGCGUAAAGCGUGCGUAGGUGGACGUUUAAGUCGAAUGUGAAAGCCCCGGGCUCAACCUGGGAACUGCAUCCGAGACUGGACAUCUAGAGUAUGGUAGAGGAAAGUGGAAUUCCCGGUGUAGCGGUGAAAUGCGUAGAUAUCGGGAGGAACAUCAGUGGCGAAGGCGACUUUCUGGACCAAUACUGACGCUGAGGCACGAAAGCGUGGGGAGCAAACAGG